GACGGAGGAUGCAAGCGUUCUCCGGAAUUAUUGGGCGUAAAGCGUCCGCAGGUGGACAUACAAGUCUGCUGUCAAAGUGCAGAGCUUAACUCUGUAAAGGCGGUGGAAACUGUAGGUCUUGAGUAUGGUAGGGGUAGAGGGAAUUCCCGGUGUAGCGGUGAAAUGCGUAGAUAUCGGGAAGAACACCAGUGGCGAAAGCGCUCUACUGGGCCAUAACUGACACUGAGGGACGAAAGCUAGGGGAGCGAAAGGG
rnacentral:rRNA from 1 species